rnacentral:rRNA from 1 species
UUAAACUGGGAUUUGGUACCCCACUAUGCCCAGUCGUAAACUUAAGUAAAUAAACACAUUCUACUUACUCGCCAGGGAAUAACGGACGCACAUUUAGUAAUAAAAAAUUACCGCAGCCACUGUUUAGAACCCAAAGGACUUGGCGGUGCUUUAUACCCCCCUAGAGGAGCCUGUUUUAGAAUCGAUACUCCCCGCUAAACCUCACCUUUUCUUGCUAUCCCCGCCUGUAUACCGCCGUCGUCAGUUCACCCUAUGAAGGAAUAACAGUGAACAAAAUUACACCUAAUAGCCAAAAUGACAGGUCAAGGUGCAGCUGAUGGAAAGGGACUAAAUGGGCUACAUUUACUGAUGCAGUAAAUUUACGAAAGUUAGUUAUGAAAAAACAACUGAAGGAGGAUUUAGUAGUAAGAAAAGAAUAGAGUGCUUUUCUGAACCCAAGGCCCUGAAGUGCGUACACACCGCCCGGUCCACCCUCAA